rnacentral:lncRNA from 1 species
AAGAAGUUACUAAUUUAUAGGUCCGGCAAUAAUAAGAGUCAAAGCUCGACGGGGAAAGACAACAUAGAAAAAUAGAGCACAGAGCAAACUGCAAAGCAAAACAGCGAUUCAAAUCUCGAUUAUAAUUUCCGGACGUUCUACUCUGCCGGUUCCCAAUAUUCCGUCACAGUUUCCGGUCACCGGAAAAAUCUGGAAAUAAAAAACUUCUCGAGAAAAAUUGAUUGAAUUGGACUGUUGUGGAAAUCGAUAGCAUUUGAUUUACAAUACAAACUGAUUCGUUUCUUCAGGUUUCUUUCAUUACCCUUUUGAAUCUCAUUUUAAUUACUCUUUCUUUUUAGGUUUUCUUGAUCAGAUUGUAUUGUGCAUGUUAUAUGCAUACUUUUUGGGAGUGAAUCACAAAUUGCCUUUUUGGGAAUGAAAUGGAUACGGAGAAUCCAUAUAGCCCCUCCGUCCCAAUUUAUGUGAUGUUGUUUGCCGGGGCACGGCUACAAAUUAUUGGAAGUUUAUAGUUAAACUGUUUCUAAAUAUUAAAGUGUAUGGUUUUUGGGACAGACGGACAAGGAAAGAGUAUCACAUAAAUUGGGGCGGAGCGAGUUCCUAACUGCAACUGUUUUUAAAUAUAGAAAUGUAUGUUAUUUGUGACAG